rnacentral:rRNA from 1 species
UGAGGUUAAGCGACUAAGCGUACACGGUGGAUGCCCAGGCAGUCAGAGGCGAUGAAGGACGUGCUAAUCUGCGUAAAGCGACGGUAAGGUGAUAUGAACCGCUACAGCCGUCGAUGUCCGAAUGGGGAAACCCGGUGCACUCUGUGCAUCAUUGCAGCAUGAAUACAUAGUGCUGCAAGGCGAACCGGGGGAACUGAAACAUCUAAGUACCCCGAGGAAAAGAAAUCAACCGAGAUUCCCCCAGUAGCGGCGAGCGAACGGGGAGCAGCCCAGAGCCUGAAUCAGUUUGUGUGUUAGUGGAAGCGUCUGGAAAGUCGCAGGGUACAGGGUGAUACUCCCGUACACAAAAACACACAUGCUGUGAGCUCGAUGAGUAAGGCGGGACACGUGGUAUCCUGUCUGAAUAUGGGGGGACCAUCCUCCAAGGCUAAAUACUCCUGACUGACCGAUAGUGAACCAGUACCGUGAGGGAAAGGCGAAAAGAACCCCGGCGAGGGGAGUGAAACAGAACCUGAAACCGUGUACGUACAAGCAGUGGGAGCCUUCUUUAUGGGGGUGACUGCGUACCUUUUGUAUAAUGGGUCAGCGACUUAUAUUCUGUAGCAAGGUUAACCGUAUAGGGGAGCCGCAGGGAAACCGAGUCUUAACUGGGCGUUAAGUUGCAGGGUAUAGACCCGAAACCCGGUGAUCUAGCCAUGGGCAGGUUGAAGGUUGGGUAACACUAACUGGAGGACCGAACCGACUAAUGUUGAAAAAUUAGCGGAUGACCUGUGGCUGGGGGUGAAAGGCCAAUCAAACCGGGAGAUAGCUGGUUCUCCCCGAAAGCUAUUUAGGUAGCGCCUCGUGAACUCAUCUUCGGGGGUAGAGCACUGUUUCGGCUAGGGGGCCAUCCCGGCUUACCAACCCGAUGCAAACUGCGAAUACCGAAGAAUGUUAUCACGGGAGACACACGGCGGGUGCUAACGUCCGUCGUGAAGAGGGAAACAACCCAGACCGCCAGCUAAGGUCCCAAAGUCAUGGUUAAGUGGGAAACGAUGUGGGAAGGCACAGACAGCCAGGAUGUUGGCUUAGAAGCAGCCAUCAUUUAAAGAAAGCGUAAUAGCUCACUGGUCGAGUCGGCCUGCGCGGAAGAUGUAACGGGGCUAAACCAUGCACCGAAGCUGCGGCAGCGACGCUUAUGCGUUGUUGGGUAGGGGAGCGUUCUGUAAGCCGUCGAAGGUGUGCUGUGAGGCAUGCUGGAGGUAUCAGAAGUGCGAAUGCUGACAUAAGUAACGAUAAAGCGGGUGAAAAGCCCGCUCGCCGGAAGACCAAGGGUUCCUGUUCAACGUUAAUCGGAGCAGGGUGAGUCGACCCCUAAGGCGAGGCCGAAAGGCGUAGUCGAUGGGAAACAGGUUAAUAUUCCUGUACUCGGUGUUACUGCGAAGGGGGGACGGAGAAGGCUAUAUCAGCCGGGCGACGGUUGUCCCGGUUUAAGCGUGUAGGCGGAGUGUCCAGGUAAAUCCGGACGCUUGUUAACGCUGAGGCGUGACGACGAGGCACUACGGUGCUGAAGUGAUAAAUGCCCAGCUUCCAGGAAAAGCCUCUAAGCAUCAGGUAACACAGAAUCGUACCCCAAACCGACACAGGUGGUCAGGUAGAGAAUACCAAGGCGCUUGAGAGAACUCGGGUGAAGGAACUAGGCAAAAUGGUGCCGUAACUUCGGGAGAAGGCACGCUGGCGCGUAGGUGGAGGGACUUGCUCCCCGAGCCGAAGCCAGUCGAAGAUACCAGCUGGCUGCAACUGUUUAUUAAAAACACAGCACUGUGCAAACACGAAAGUGGACGUAUACGGUGUGACGCCUGCCCGGUGCCGGAAGGUUAAUUGAUGGGGUUAUCCGCAAGGAGAAGCUCUUGAUCGAAGCCCCGGUAAACGGCGGCCGUAACUAUAACGGUCCUAAGGUAGCGAAAUUCCUUGUCGGGUAAGUUCCGACCUGCACGAAUGGCGUAAUGAUGGCCAGGCUGUCUCCACCCGAGACUCAGUGAAAUUGAACUCGCUGUGAAGAUGCAGUGUACCCGCGGCAAGACGGAAAGACCCCGUGAACCUUUACUACAGCUUGACACUGAACAUUGAGCCUUGAUGUGUAGGAUAGGUGGGAGGCUUUGAAGCGCGGACGCCAGUUCGCGUGGAGCCAACCUUGAAAUACCACCCUUUAAUGUUUGAUGUUCUAACGUAGGCCCGUAAUCCGGGCUGCGGACAGUGUCUGGUGGGUAGUUUGACUGGGGCGGUCUCCUCCUAAAGAGUAACGGAGGAGCACGAAGGUCAGCUAAUCACGGUCGGACAUCGUGAGGUUAGUGCAAUGGCAUAAGCUGGCUUGACUGCGAGAGUGACGGCUCGAGCAGGUGCGAAAGCAGGUCAUAGUGAUCCGGUGGUUCUGAAUGGAAGGGCCAUCGCUCAACGGAUAAAAGGUACUCCGGGGAUAACAGGCUGAUACCGCCCAAGAGUUCAUAUCGACGGCGGUGUUUGGCACCUCGAUGUCGGCUCAUCACAUCCUGGGGCUGAAGUAGGUCCCAAGGGUACGGCUGUUCGCCGUUUAAAGUGGUACGCGAGCUGGGUUUAGAACGUCGUGAGACAGUUCGGUCCCUAUCUGCCGUGGGCGCUGGAGAAUUGAGGGGGGUUGCUCCUAGUACGAGAGGACCGGAGUGAACGCACCACUGGUGUUCGGGUUGUCAUGCCAAUGGCAUUGCCCGGUAGCUAAGUGCGGAAAAGAUAAGUGCUGAAAGCAUCUAAGCACGAAACUUGCCCCGAGAUGAGUUCUCCCUGACUCCUUGAGAGUCCUGAAGGGACGUUGAAGACUACGACGUUGAUAGGCCGGGUGUGUAAGCGCAGCGAUGCGUUGAGCUAACCGGUACUAAUGACCCGUGAGGCUUAACCUUACAACGCCAGAGGCGUUUUUGAGAGA